rnacentral:rRNA from 1 species
UACGUAGGGGGCAAGCGUUGUCCGGAUUUAUUGGGCGUAAAGAGCGUGUAGGCGGCCAUACAGGUCAGCUGUGAAAACUCGAGGCUCAACCUCGAGACGUCGGUUGAAACCGUAUGGCUAGAGUCCGGAAGAGGAGAGUGGAAUUCCCGGUGUAGCGGUGAAAUGCGCAGAUAUCGGGAAGAACACCCAUGGCGAAGGCAGCUCUCUAGUACGGUACUGACGCUGAGACGCGAAAGCGUGGGGAGCGAACAGG